AAUAAGCGGAGGAAAAGAAACCAACAGGGAUUGCCCUAGUAACGGCGAGUGAAGCGGCAACAGCUCAAAUUUGAAAUCUGGCCUCGGCCCGAGUUGUAAUUUGCAGAGGAUGCUUCUGGCGCGGUGCCUUCCGAGUUCCCUGGAACGGGACGCCACAGAGGGUGAGAGCCCCGUAUGGUCGGACACCAAGCCUGUGUGAAGCUCCUUCGACGAGUCGAGUAGUUUGGGAAUGCUGCUCUAAAUGGGAGGUAAAUCUCUUCUAAAGCUAAAUACCGGCCAGAGACCGAUAGCGCACAAGUAGAGUGAUCGAAAGAUGAAAAGCACCUUGAAAAGGGGGUUAAAUAGUACGUGAAAUUGUUGAAAGGGAAGCACUUAUGACCAGACUUGGGCCGGGCGGCUCAUCAGGGGUUCUCCCCUGUGCACUCCGCCCGGCACAGGCCAGCAUCGGUUCUCGUGGGGGGAUAAGACCGACAGGAACGUAGCACCCUCCGGGGUGUGUUAUAGCCUGGCGGACGAUACCCCCGUGGGGACCGAGGUCCGCGCUCCGCAAGGAUGCUGGCGUAAUGGUCAUCAGUGACCCGUCUUGAAACACGGACCAAGGAGUCGUCCAUUAGAGCGAGCGUUUGGGUGUAAAACCCGCACGCGUAAUGAAAGUGAACGCAGGUGAGAGCUUCGGCGCAUCAUCGACCGAUCCUGAUGUUCUCGGAAGGAUUUGAGUAAGAGUUUUAACGGACGGACCCGAAAGACAGUGAACUAUGCUUGAAUAGGGUGAAGCCAGAGGAAACUCUGGUGGAGGCUCGCAGCGGUUCUGACGUGCAAAUCGAUCGUCAAAUUUGAGCAUGGGGGCGAAAGACUAAUCGAACUGUCUAGUAGCUGG
rnacentral:rRNA from 1 species